rnacentral:rRNA from 1 species
CGGGUGAGUAACACGUGGAUAAUCUGCCUUUUAGUGGGGAAUACCGCUGGGAAACCGGUGACAAUACCGCAUAAGCUCGGAAGAGGAAAGCGGCUUUAUGAAAGUAGAGCUGCGCUGAAAGAGGAGUCCGCGGUCGAUUAGUUAGUUGGCAGGGUAAAAGCCUACCAAGACUGUGAUCGAUAGCCGGCCUGAGAGGGCACACGGCCACACUGGCACUGAAACACGGGCCAG